rnacentral:lncRNA from 1 species
AGGUUGAGCAAAAUCGACAUGUGCUGAGUGACCGAGAUAAUGUUCUGGGGUCUUCCUCAAGGAAGGACCUAAAAUGUCACUUGCAGAGUCCAUCAGGUGGAACUCCAAGUAUCUCAAUGGUGAAUUCACUACAGAAACAACUUGAAAAUGCCUUGAACUCCCACCUGAGCAAGAAGUUUCAGGAAAUCAGUGAGGGUCAGAUUCCUGGCACUGUGCAUAGAUCAUGGCAUUCUAUCAAGUUGGCAUUGCCUGUAACUGAGAAAUCCACCAGACAAACGAGUCACAAAACUUUGGCACCAACCAGGACGGACAGCUCUGUCAAUACUACCCAGGCUAUUUCCUUCCUCGAUGCUGGCAAGAAGAUGAUGGAAGACCACAUUACACUGUUUCAUAAGAGGUUUAUAUAUGGCCUUCCCAACAGGGUUCAGGAAUCCCUAGAGAUCUUUAAUGAAAAAGAUUCAUAUCACUCCUUUUCUCACUCCAAGUUUCCUUUUUCUGCCACCCAUAUUUCUGGAGGGGAUUCUAAACAAAGCAUGUCCAAGACCCAUGGAGGAAGAUCUAAUGCUUUUCAUGGAGACAAAGAGAAAACCAAAAAUGCAACUCAAAGUCUAGAUUGUCCUCUCCUUGCCACCUCAAUCGUGGUCAAGAAAGAACAGGCGAUCCUGACACAAACAGUCUUUGAGAUCAAGCAUGAGCAUGUAGAGGACCU